CACGGGGGGAGCAAGCGUUGUGCGGAAUCACUGGGCGGAAAGGGCGUGUAGGCGGUCAGGUAAGUGGGAUGUGAAAUGCCCCGGCUCACCCGGGGACCGGCAUCCCAUACUGCUUGGCUUGAGUACGGGAGAGGAUGUGGGAAUUCCUGGUGUAGCGGUGAAAUGCGUAGAUAUCAGGAGGAACACCGGUGGCGAAGGCGCACAUCUGGCCCGAUACUGACGCUGAGGCGCGAAAGCUAGGGGAGCAAACGGG
rnacentral:rRNA from 1 species